rnacentral:rRNA from 16 species
GCUUACGGCCACACCAGUGUGAAAGCAUCUGAUCUCAGAAGCUAAACACACUUGGGCUCGAUCAGUACUUGGAUGGGAGACCGCCUGGAAACACCGAGUGCUGUAAGCU